rnacentral:rRNA from 1 species
UGGAUCCAGACUCUGAUCAUGGCUCAGGAUGAACGCUGGCGGCGUGCUUAACACAUGCAAGUCGAACGAAGCACUCUAUUUGAUUUUCUUCGGAAAUGAAGAUUUUGUGACUGAGUGGCGGACGGGUGAGUAACGCGUGGGUAACCUGCCUCAUACAGGGGGAUAACAGUUGGAAACGACUGCUAAUACCGCAUAAGCGCACAGGAUCGCAUGAUCCGGUGUGAAAAACUCCGGUGGUAUGGGAUGGACCCGCGUCUGAUUAGCCAGUUGGCAGGGUAACGGCCUACCAAAGCGACGAUCAGUAGCCGACCUGAGAGGGUGACCGGCCGCAUUGGGACUGAGACACGGCCCAAACUCCUACGGGAGGCAGCAGUGGGGAAUAUUGCACAAUGGGGGAAACCCUGAUGCAGCGACGCCGCGUGAGCGAAGAAGUAUUUCGGUAUGUAAAGCUCUAUCAGCAGGGAAGAAGAAUGACGGUACCUGACUAAGAAGCACCGGCUAAAUACGUGCCAGCAGCCGCGGUAAUACGUAUGGUGCAAGCGUUAUCCGGAUUUACUG